rnacentral:lncRNA from 1 species
GUUUAACACCUGCCUGAAGAGCUGAAACUCCCAAAUGUCACAGGAAAUGAGGCCGAAGAGAAACGUGACCUUAGGAGUCUGCAGGUGGAAUCAGCACCAUGUGUUUUGAUGGUACAAACCCCAUAAAUUGAAAAAAAAAAAUAGCCUUUCCUAGCUGAAAAGAAUUGGUAAACAUUUAGGAAGUCCUGUGUAUAUUUAUACAGAAGUUAAAUCGACUCUUUUUUGCUGUAAAAAUACCCUGCCAGUAAAAGGCAGUCUCUGCUGGUACGAAUUGUUUGUUCCUUCUGCCCCUUCAUCUUAGAUGUUCUCUCUGCUCACUAUUUCACAUCACCAUUAUUAAUGCCCUUUUUAUUUUUUAUUUAUUUUUUUCUGUGUGGCAAAUCUCUACAGGAAAAAGAAAAAAAACAACACAAAAAAAAAACCCCAAACAGAUAGAGAAAUGAUUAAGGAGUCUCCCCCCUCCUGCAUUUCUUUCUUUUACCAGUUUGUCCAGCAAGGGGCAGACAGAGCGGUACCCAAAACGAUGAAGCCAGUCAGAUCUAUAUUUUAAGAAAAAUGCUGCAUUUUGUCUAAAAUAAGAAACGCCAUCGAGAUAACGCUGUGCCUUCGUUUAAUUACAUUGCCACUGUAAUUAGACAAGAGAAACAUUCAGCAUUUUCAGGCUGGAGGCAGUGAUUUCUCCGUUCUGGGCAGCUCAAACCUCCCUAAUAUACAUUUCAGGUCUUACCCUCCUUUGUGGGAGGGAAGAAUCUAGGGAUCUCCAAAUCAUUAAGCCGUGUCACAUCGUUAAGCAACCAGCACGUUCUAGAAAAAUACUGAUGAAGGAUCAGUGCUUAAGGAACAAAUUUCUGAAGAUGAGUUUUCCCUUAAAGAAAUCAAAUAGAUCCCAAGCAAAAUAUCUGUAAGGGAAAAUAUUCACUAAAAAUUUAAUAGUUCUCUGCCUUAACUGAAGAAGUGCAGCUGCUUACACGAACUGUGUGGUAGAUUUUUUUUCUAAGUAAAUCCUAAUACCUUAAUUCUUGCCUUUCUCUCUUAGAAUGCAUCCUACAGAGGGUACAGCUGGGCUGACUGCUGUGUGCUUCCCCCUCCCUGCCCCCCACCAUCCUCAAAACCACCCAGUUCCUUAAAACCUGCUGGUUUGGGUUGGAAUUAUCAUUUAUAUUGAUGAUUUCUCUGCGGUCCUCCUCCUCCUCCAGUUA